GCCAGUGUGGUGUAGUGGUUUGAGUGUUGGACUGGGACUCUGGAGACCAGGGUUCAAAUCCCAGAUCAGUCA
rnacentral:tRNA from 1 species